rfam:Capsicum annuum cultivar Zunla-1 chromosome 6, whole genome shotgun sequence
UAAUGGUGAUGAGGACAAUUUAUGAGAAUGCCCUUGAAUCUUUCCCAAGCUUGGUAAAUAUUUUCUCAUUCUUUCUGCCUUAAGCUCAGAAUCUCACUUCUUAAACA